AGUGGGGAAUAUUGCACAAUGGGCGCAAGCCUGAUGCAGCGACGCCGCGUGAGGGAUGACGGCCUUCGGGUUGUAAACCUCUUUCAGUACCGACGAAGCGCAAGUGACGGUAGGUACAGAAGAAGCACCGGCCAACUACGUGCCAGCAGCCGCGGUAAUACGUAGGGUGCGAGCGUUGUCCGGAAUUACUGGGCGUAAAGAGCUCGUAGGCGGUUUGUCGCGUCGUCUGUGAAAACCCGCAGCUCAACUGCGGGCUUGCAGGCGAUACGGGCAGACUUGAGUACUGCAGGGGAGACUGGAAUUCCUGGUGUAGCGGUGAAAUGCGCAGAUAUCAGGAGGAACACCGGUGGCGAAGGCGGGUCUCUGGGCAGUAACUGACGCUGAGGAGCGAAAGCGUGGGUAGCGAACAGGAUUAGAUACCCUGGUAGUCCACGCCGUAAACGGUGGGCGCUAGGUGUGGGUUU
rnacentral:rRNA from 1 species